UGCCAGACUCCUACGGGAGGCAGCAGUCGGGAAUAUUGCGCAAUGGAGGAAACUCUGACGCAGUGACGCCGCGUAUAGGAAGAAGGUUUUCGGAUUGUAAACUAUUGUCCACAGGGAAGAUAAAAGACUGUACCUGUGAAGAAAGCUCCGGCUAACUACGUGCCAGCAGCCGCGGUAAUACGUAGGGAGCAAGCGUUAUCCGGAAUUAUUGGGUGUAAAGGGUGCGUAGACGGCGACGCAAGUCUGGAGUGAAAGCCCGGGGCCCAACCCCGGGACUGCUCUGGAAACUGCGUCGCUGGAGUACGGGAGGGGCAGGCGGAAUUCCUGGUGUAGCGGUGAAAUGCGUAGAUAUCAGGAGGAACACCGGCGGCGAAGGCGGCCUGCUGGACCGUGACUGACGUUGAGGCUCGAGAGCGUGGGGAGCAAACAGGAUUAGAUACCCCAGUA
rnacentral:rRNA from 1 species